CGGGAGGUGGAGGUGGGCAUCGGGGAGAGCCGAGCUGGGCCUCCAGGGCAGGGGCAGCUGGAUGGGAAUGAAAAAGGAAGCGGGCGGCCACCAGAUUUCAGCAGGAACAGACGCCAGGGGCGAGGGCAGCACAUGUGCCCA